UGGAACAAUCAUAGAUACUGAUGGAAUGAUUAGAACUUUCUAUUUGACUUACAUAAUAAUUCUGGAAUGAUCAUAAUCUACGGUGUGUAAUUUAAACUUCUACCGUAUUCUAGAAGUUUUCGUUCUACAGUGUUCUAGAGAUUUCCGUGACAACUAUAUAUAUACAGACACUAAAGUUAGACUACACAUUAGACAUUAAUAUAAUUGGAUUCUCAAAAGAUCUCUGGAGCUUUGGAUGGACACUUUCUUUUACGUUAACUACAUCAUACUAGAUUUUGAACUUAUUGGACAUAUUCCGUACAGUUAAGAGAAGAAUUCCGGAUAAAGAAAAGACAAAGGAUCGGACAGAUAUUUUAACAACAUAUCACCUUAAACAUGGUUGUCCUGAUGUUAAUGGUCAAAGGUGUAGUUGGAUCAGAGAACAAAUGAAAAAAUCCAUGAAGAUAACCACACCAUUAGAAAAAACGAAGUAAGUCUUCCUUAUCUCUUUCAGACAUUCUUCAUGAUUACAAAAUGUAAGACGAAAUAUACCAGAAAGACAAAAGAUUAUUGGAUGGGAAACCCAGAAUGUUGGUGGAUGAAAGAACAGAUGAAAAGAAACAGAAUCUUCACAGAUUUUAAUCAUAUGAAGCAUUGUGAAAAUGUAGCAGUUAGAAUGACGAGUAUUUUCCGCAAAAAAACAGGAAAUUUAUUGGAAAGCGCUACUGUAAAGACCUCACAUUCUGCCUUUGAUAACUUUGUUCAGCCUAUAGAAGAUAACAGACAGGAUUCAUCUGAAUCUGUACGAUGUACAUGUAUUAUCUCCCCUGAAGAAGGGUAUUCGUUGAUCACUGAGUUUAAUAUAACUUGUGAUGCCAAUACAACUGGUCUCCAUGAUACAGUUUUAUAUAAUGUGUAUCAAACAUCAGAAACUGGUAAAAACUUAAUAUAAACAACAAAAUAAUGACUAAAAUUUGAUGUUUUGUUUAUUUUACAUUAGAAUGUAAAUGACUUUU